AAAAAACUGCCACCGGGUAGAUAGCGAAAGCAUUCAUUACACAUCAUUAGGUCUUUGAAGAUGUGUAAAUGGAUGCUUAUUUUUAU
rnacentral:ncRNA from 1 species